rnacentral:rRNA from 1 species
AGAAUCAACGCUGGCGGCGUGCCUAACACAUGCAAGUCGCACGAGAAAGGGGCUUCGGCUCUGAGUAAAGUGGCGCACGGGUGAGUAACACGUGACUAAUCUACCCUCGAGUGGGGAAUAACUGAGAGAAAUCUUAGCUAAUACCGCAUAACACUUACGAGUCAAAGCAGCAAUGCGCUUGGGGAGGAGGUCGCGGCCGAUUAGCUAGUUGGUGGGGUAAAGGCCUACCAAGGCUACGAUCAGUAGCUGGUCUGAGAGGAUGAUCAGCCACACUGGGACUGAGACACGGCCCAGACUCCUACGGGAGGCAGCAGUAGGGAAUCUUGCGCAAUGGGCGAAAGCCUGACGCAGCCAUGCCGCGUGAAUGAUGAAGGUCUUAGGAUUGUAAAAUUCUUUCAGCGGGGACAUAAUGACGGUACCGCAGAAGAGCCCGCUAACUCGUGCCAGCAGCCGCGU